CGUAAUAUAUGUCAAAAUCAAAGCCAUCAGCGUGAUAUCCCUUAAUCAAAAUAAUUAUCCGGAUUGCUAUCUAUUAUAUAUUAAAAUUCACUGAAGCUAAUGAUGGAUGAGUGAUUACGGUAAAAAAAAGUUGAAUCUCCCGCUAACAACGAGAAAAGCAAGAUUAUCGCCGCGAGAUGGCGGCACGAAAACUCUUCAGAGAGCUGAAUCGCAAUCAGUCAUCAGUCACGCUAAGUGAUACGCAUCGUUAAGACGGUGAAAAUUAGUGUGCGUAUGUCGUAAUCUCAUCAGACCGACUCUUCGUUCUUGUUCGCGUACGCCUUUGCGGAGCAGAAGCCGAAUGAAGAAGGAGCAUGCACUGCGUUGCACUCAUUUUUUGACAGCCUUCCGGAUUCAUCUUCGAAGAUAAAAGCAUUCGCGAGUCUCGCCUAAAGAAUACAGUGAAUAGUGAAAAAUCAUUCGACAUGGGACGUACGGUGACCGUUGCCGUUUGCACAUUAAACCAAUGGGCGAUGGACUUCGACGGAAAUACCAGAAGAAUUUUGCAAAGUAUACAAGAGGCAAAGGAUGCUGGUGCCACUUAUAGGAGCGGUCCCGAAUUAGAAAUCUGGUAAUUAGAUCAAAGGAAGACUAACCUUGCCAGUUUGCAAAAGUAUAGAGAAAAUAUCAUUCAAAGAAAUAUAUAUUUUUCCAUGAGA